ensembl:lncRNA
GAUGAUGCAUCAGGGGAAAACCCUGGGUGUCUGGAUAAAAAUGAAAAAUGAGAGCACAUGCUUGCAAACAGAAGGCAGAAAAUAACUUCACCAAGCUAAUUUUAUUGCAUUACAAUUAGUAAUUCAAGCAUUAAAAUACACUGUGAUCCAAAAACUAAUUUGGAUAUAUAGACUACCCUUAAAAAUUUAUGAAUGACUUUGAAUUAUAUAACAAAAUAUUAAAUCAAGCAGGACUGUGAUAGCAAAGCUGAUUUUUCAGAGGCCGUUAUUCAAAAGAACAGAAAUUAUUUGAAAUAGAAAUAUUUUGUAUUAAUUGACAGUAAAAUAUAUUUUACUAUCAUUUAAUGCAUCUUUGCUGAAUAAAAUUAUUAAUUUCCUUUAAAAAUCUGAUAAAUAAAUUAUGAGAAUUAGCUGAUACCACUUAGUUUGUUAUUUUGAAAUCCAGUGCAACAUUUAUACAUUUUUAGGUUUGUCUCUUGUCUAAAUGUCUCCAAAUUCAGUUUCUGUGGCCACUGUAUGCACAAUGCCAUUCGUUUGUGUAUUUGUUAUAUCUUUUAAACUUUCAGUCUUUUGUCUUUUUAGAAGCUGGGAUGCAUCACCUGUUAUCCGCUGUGGUCCUCCUCAGGGACUACAGGUGUUCACAUACGACAUGCUGCUCAAAGGAGGACAGCUGGUCAGUGAUCAGGGAGAGGCUAUGACGUGAUGCUGAAGAAUAUCUUGAUGGCUGAAAUUAUGCCUAUAGUGGAGGAAUUUGACCAGCAGAAAAAUAAUGGUCACAGGUUUAUCUAAUUACCAUUCUUCAGCAACCAAGUAAUAACUGUGUUUGUUUGGGACCAGACCUGUGACAAUUCAUGAGGCCAUAACUGGUGAGGAUUCACCCUGAGACCGAAUAGUAAAUAUUUCCUUUCAGCCAUGAUCUAUUGGAAAUAGUAAACGUGUAGACCCUUAUCCGUGAACUCCAACAAUACUUAGAUUACAAAGGGAAGACCUAGAGACUUGCAUAAUGUGUACUGUGAAAACUGAUAUGUAGGCUUACAACUGUGAAAUGAUUGUCUA